GAGGUGUCCGCCCGAGGCCCAGCUGUCCGGAGCAACUGGCAUGGCCCGAACCAUGGCCGCCGCAUGGCCUCCGCUGCUGCUGGCGCUACUGGUGCUGUCCUGGCCACCCCCAGGAACCGGGGACAUCGUCGUGCAGGCGCCCACCCAGGUGCCCGGCUUCUUGGGCGACUCCGUGACGCUGCCCUGCUACCUACAGGUGCCCGGCAUGGAGGAGACUCACGUGUCACAGCUGACUUGGUCGCGGCAUGGUGAUCCGGCAGCAUGGCCGUCUUCCACCAAACGCAGGGCCCCAACUAUUCGGAGCCCAAACGGCUGGAAUUCGUGGCUGCCAGACUGGGCACAGAGCUCCGGGAUGCCUCGCUGAGGAUGUUCGGGUGCGUGUCGAGGAUGAAGGCAACUACACCUGCCUGUUCGUCGCGUUCCCACAGGGCAGCAGGAGCGUGAUAUCUGGCUCCGAGUGCUUGCCAAGCCCCAGAACACAGCUGAGGUUCAGAAGGUCCAGCUCACUGGAAAACCGGUGCCCGUGGCCCGCUGCGUCUCCACAGGGGGUCGCCCGCCGGCCCACAUCACCUGGCACUCAGACCUGGGCGGGAUGCCCAAUACCAGCCAGGCGCCAGGGUUCCUGUCUGGCACAGUCACUGUCACCAGCCUCUGGAUUUUGGUGCCCUCAAGCCAGGUGGACGGCAAGAGUGUGACCUGCAAGGUGGAGCACGAGAGCUUUGAGAAGCCUCAGCUGCUGACUGUGAACCUCACCGUCUACUACCCCCCAGAGGUAUCCAUCUCUGGCUAUGAUAACAACUGGUACCUCAGCCAGAAUGAGGCCACCCUGACCUGCGACGCUCGCAGCAACCCCAGAGCCCACAGGCUACAACUGGAGCAGGACCAUGGGUCCCCUGCCACCCUUCGCUGUGGCCCAGGGCGCCCAGCUCCUGAUCCGUCCUGUGGACAAACCAAUCAACACAACUUUCAUCUGCAACGUCACCAAUGCCCUAGGAGCUCGCCAGGCAGAACUGACCGUCCAGGUCAAAGAGGGACCUCCCAGUGAGCACUCAGGCAUGUCCAGUAACAUCAUCAUCUUCCUGAUUCUGGGAAUCGUGAUUCUUCUGACCCUCGUGGGGAUCGGGCUUUAUUUCUAUCGGUCCAGAUGUUCCCGAGAGUUUCUUUGGUGCCAUCAUCUGUCUCCCUCGAGUAAGGAGCAUGCCAGCGCCUCGGCUAAUGGGUAUAUCUCCUAUUCAGAUGUGAGCAGAGAGGCCAGCUUUUCCCAGGAUCCACAGACAGAGGGCACAAGGUGACACCGUCGGGACUGAGCAGGGAGAGAGACUGGAGCUGGCAAGGACAUGGGCCUCCAGAGUUGGACCCCGCCCCAAUGGAUGAAGACCCCCUCCAAAGAGACCAGCCUCCCUCCCUGUGCCAGACCUCAAAACGAGGGAGGCAGGUGCAAGUUCAGAGGUCUCCAAGACCACCCUCCGUUCAUUUGCUAGAAGGACUCACUAGACUCAGGAAAGCUGUUAGGCUCACAGUUACAGCUUGUUACAGUAAAAAGAUAGGGAUUAAGAUCAGCACAGGGAGGAGGUGCACAGCCCACACUCCAGGAGAGAUGAGGCGCCGGCUACCAGCUGCUGUCUCCCAGUGGAGCCAUAGAGGCAGCACCUGAUUCUCACAGCAACACACGUGAUGACAUGCAAGUACUGCCAACCAGAGCAGCUCACUCGAGAUCUUCGUGUCCAGAGUUUUUUGUUUGUCUUGAGACAGGGUCUGGCUCUGUUGGCCCACUGGAGUGCAUUGGUGAAAUCACAGCUCAUUGCAGCCUUGACUUCUCAACUCCAAGUCAUCCUCCCACCUCAGCCUCCUGAGUAGCUACGACUACAGGUAUGUGCCACCAUGUCUGGCUAAUCUUUUUAUUUUUUGUAGAGAUGAGGUCUCCCUGUGUUGCCCAGGCUGGUCUUGAACUCUUGGCUUCAAGUGAUACUUCUGCCUUGGCCUCCCAAAAUGCCGAAUUAAGCAGCUCACCACCCACAUGACUGACCUCAUACAUCAAGCCAAUACCGUGUGGCCCAAGACCCCCACCAUAAAUCACAUCAUUUAUGAUGUGGCCCAGAGUGGCCCAAGACUCUCAGAUCAGCUACCAGCAGGAUAUUCCAAGGGCUUGGAGAUGAAUGCCCAGGAGCUGAGGAUAAAGGGCCAGAUCUUUGUUUGGGCAAGGUUAAGCCUCUACUGCAUAGCAGACCACACAGAAGGGUGUGGACCACCAGAGAAUUUUGGUAAAAAUUUGGCCUCUGGCCUUGAGCUUCCAAUUCUCUGUAUCCGUCAGACUUCUGUGGUUACAAGAAAUAGCCGCUGACCCUGGUCACCAGAGGCUGCAACUCAGGCCGCAAGCAGCUGCCUGUGGCGUGUCCAAGGAGCAGAGACAACUACUGGACAUGAACUUGAAGAAGGUAGUCAGCUGCAGCCACUUUCGGCCAGCAUCUGCAGCCAGCAAGCUGGGACUGGCAGGAAAUAACCCACAAAAGAAGCAAAUGCUAUUUCCAGCUCCAGGGGGAGGGGAUGCAGGGGGAGGCGGCACUGCAGUUGCUCAGGACACGCUCCUGUAGGACCAAGAUGGAUGCGACCCAAGACCCAGGAGGCCAAGCUGCUCAGAUGCAACUGAUAAGUUUACUUUAAAAAGGUCUAUGAUCUUGAGGGCAGACACCAGAAUUCCUCUUAUAAAGAAAACUGUUUGGGAAAAUACCUUGAGGGAGAAAAGACCUUGGGCCAAGAUGCUAAAUGAGAAUACAAAGCCUGAGCUGCUCUGCAAGAGAAAAUAAGCGGGACGGAGGAUUUGCUGUGGACAGAGAUGGAAGAGAGGGGAACAGAGAAGUGUGGGGAAGAGAUACGAACCAGCAGGAUGGCAGUGGCAAAGGGUUCAAGGGGUGAUGAGGCCAGUGGGACCCCACAGAGUUGGGGAGACAAAGGAACAUUGGUUGCUUUGGUGGCACAUAAGCUCCUUGUCUUUCUCCAGCGCCCAAAAUCUCAUUAAAACUUAUUUAUUGUACCUCCAGUGGCUGUGUGCAAUGGGGUCUCUUGUGGAAAUGAAGGAGGAGACGGGUUUCAUGUGUACCAUCACCACAUGGGAUGGAACCGGAGGCAUGGAAGCAAGAUGCUAAAUGAAGAAGGCUGUGAGGGCUAGGAUUCCCAGGCACCUUAGGAACAGCUUGUCUUUUUUUGUUUUUUUUUUCCUCUCCAAAAAAAUUUUUUAAGAGACAGUGUCUACUGUCACCCAGGCUGGAGUGCAGUGGCAUGAUCAUAGCUCAUUGUAGCCUCUAACUCCGGACCUCAAGCAAUCCUCCCACCUCAGCCUCCCAAGUAGCUGGGACCACAGGUGCCCCUCACCAUGCCAAGCUAACUUUUAAAAUUAGAUAGUACAGAAACUUCCCAAAACUGGAAGUUAUAAAAAGACAUGAGGGAUCCGUUCUAAUUUGUGUUUAGAGUGUAAUGGUCCAGCUCCAUUCUUUUACACGUGGAUAUCCAGUUUUACACAACACUAUGAAUGUAAUGAAUGCCACUGAGUCAUACACUCAAAAAUAGCUAAAAUGGCAAAUUUUCUGUUAUCUCUUUUUAACCACAAUUUUAGAAAAUUAAUUGCAAAACCAUUGAAUAGUACAUUUUAUUUAUUUAUUAUUUGUUUAUUUAUUUUAGAAACAGAGUCUCACUUUGUUGCCCAGACUGGAGUGCAGUGGCGUGAUCAUGGCUCAUUUCAGCCUAGACCUGCUGGGCUCACACGAUCCUUCCAUCUCAGCCUCCAGAAUAGCUGGGACUAUAGGUGGGCACCACCCCACCUGGCUAAAUUUUUAAAAAAUUUUUGUAGAGAUGGGCAUCUCACUAUGUUGCCUAGGCUGGUCUGGAACUCCUGGGCUCAAGUGCUUCUCCUGCCUCGGCCUCCCAAAGUGCUGGGAUUACAGAUGUGAGCCACCGUGCCCGCCCUGGACCUUACUUUUGUUGCUCAGUUUCUGGUAAUUCAGAGUUGUUGUUCUUACAACCUUAGUUGUUCUACAGCCACCUCAUAUUCCAUGGGAGGGAUUUACAGGGCUUUUUUAACGAGGCCCCUAAAGACAGGCGUUUGUAUCAUUUCCAGCCUUUUACUAUUACAAUGUUGUAGUGAAUAACUUUAGACACUGUCAUUUAUUUUAUUUAUUUAUUUAUUUAUUUCAGAGACAGGAAUCUUGCCAUCUUGCCCAGGCUGGUCUCAAACUCCUGGGCUCAAACAGUCCUCCCGCCUCGGCCUCCUAAAAUACUGGGAUUUAUAGGCAUAAGCCCCCAUGCCUGGCCAAUGCACACUGUCAUUUAGCUUAUGUCAACACCUGAGUGUAGGACACACUCCUGGAGGUGGAAUUGCUGGGCCAAAGAGUUUGUUUCUUGUCAUUGUGAUAGAUAUUGACAAAUGAACCCUCCCAGAAGUUGUGCUGAGUUCUGUUCCCACCAGCGACAUAGGUGAUGACCUCUUUCUGGAGGAAGGGGGCAUCCUUGGGAUCCACAGAGCCAGGAAUGGAGAGUAGGCCCAGAAUUUUGGUAUAGAUGUUCUAUAAACUUAUAGUAAGGUUAAGAAAACCGCAACUAUCCAUAUCAGAGUCUUGGUGGGGGCGGGGUAUAACGGAGAUCAUAAAGGGGCUAAAACACUGGACACCCUCCCUCCGCAUUGCUCCUGCAUGGGAGUCGGGAAUCUUUUCAGGUCGAUAUGAUCUCACCUUGAGGAGCUGUGAGUUCCCAGAAGCCUCUGGGUUACUGAUUGCUUGUGGUGAAAAUGCCUAUGCUACUGAAAUCUAACUUUUAAAAAAAAAUUAUGGGCUGGGCGCAGUGGCUCACGCCUGUAAUGGGAGGCUACAGCGGGUGUAUCACUUGAGGUAAGGAGUUCAAGACUAGCCCGUAGUGAAACCCUGUCUCUACAAAAAAAAUUAGCCAGACGUGUCAUGCAUGCUUGUAAUCUCAGCUACUCGAGGCUGAGGUGGGAGAAUCCCUUGAACCCGGGAGGUGGAGGGUGCAGGAAGCCAUGAUCGAGUCACUGCACUCCAACCUGGGUGACAAGAGUGAGACUCCGUCUUCAAAAAAAAAAAAAAAAAGAACUGGAUUGUCUGGCUCAACUCCGGGCACGGCAUGCAGGGCCCAGUUCUGCUGUUCUGCUGUUUGUUCUGCUUUCCUCCACAUAUUGGCAUCACCCUCUGGUGCCAAGAUGGCUGCUGCAUUCCAGGCAUCACAUCCAGACUCAGACCCAGAGAAGCUGCCCAUCCCUACCUGGGUGAGCCUUUGUAGGAACGAGAAACCUCACCCAGCAGCAGAAACCUCACCCAGCAGCGUCUCUUCUGGUCUCAUUCACCAGCGCUGCCUGCCGCUUAACCAAUCCCUGGCCAAAAGAAUAGGACCGCCUGGAUGGCUGGACCAAUCGCGACCUGCCCUCUGGGCCUGGGGAGAGGCCCGGAUGAAGGCUGCAGGACAGGAUGGAAGUCUAGACCUCUGUUACCAGCAGUGACUACUUCUGUCUGGGUUGUUGUAACAUGUUUGAAUUGUAUUCUCUUUUAAGUACUGACUAAAAGUUCUGCAUUAAA